rnacentral:rRNA from 1 species
AGCGAACGCUGGCGGCAGGCCUAACACAUGCAAGUCGAACGCGUGUAGCAAUACACGAGUGGCAGACGGGUGAGUAACACGUGGGAACGUACCUUUCGGUUCGGAAUAACUCAGGGAAACUUGUGCUAAUACCGGAUACGCCUUUACGGGGAAAGAUUUAUCGCCGAAAGAUCGGCCCGCGUCUGAUUAGCUUGUUGGUGAGGUAACGGCUCACCAAGGCGACGAUCAGUAGCUGGUC